UACGAAGGUGGCUAGCGUUGUUCGGAUUUAUUGGGCGUAAAGGGUCCGCAGGCGGUUUGAUAAGUCAGGUGUGAAAUCCCACAGCUUAACUGUGGACACGCAUUUGAUACUGUUAGACUAGAGUAUGAGAGGGGUAAGAGGAAUUUCCAGUGUAGGGGUGAAAUCCGUAGAUAUUGGAAAGAACACCGGCCGCGAAGGCGUUUUACUGGCUCAUUACUGACGCUCAGGGACGAAAGCUAGGGGAGCAAACGGG
rnacentral:rRNA from 1 species